GACUCUGUAGCUCAGUUGGCCAGAGCGCUGCACUGGAAUCGCAGGACAGCAGAUUUGAUUCCUGCCCUGUAGUUG